rnacentral:rRNA from 1 species
AUUCCAGCUCUAAUAGCGUAUAUUAAUGUUGUUGCAGUUAAAAAGCUCGUAGUUGGAUUUUGGUGUUUGACAAACGGUCGGCCUUACGGUUUGUACUGUUUGUUGGCACUUCUUUUCUGGGGAACUCACUGUUCUCAAUUGAAGGGUGUUGUAACGCAGAUCGUUUACUUUGAAAAAAUUAGAGUGUUCAAAGCAGGCCAACGCAUUGAAUACAUUAGCAUGGAAUAAUGGAAUAGGACUUUGGUCUUAUUUUGUUGGUUUCUAAGGCCGAGGUAAUGAUUAAUAGGGAUAGUUGGGGGCGUUUAUAUUCCGUUGUCAGAGGUGAAAUUCUUGGAUUUACGGAAGAUAAACUACUGCGAAAGCAUUCGCCAAGGAUGUUUUCAUCG